AUUGAACGCUGGCGGCAGGCCUAACACAUGCAAGUCGAGCGAGCGGCGGACGGGUGAGUAAUGUAUGGGGACUGCCCGAUAGAGGGGGAUAACUACUGGAAACGGUAGCUAAUACCGCAUACUAUCGGAUAACCCAUAUGGGAUUAGCUAGUAGGUGAGGUAAUGGCUCACCUAGGCGACGAUCCCUAGCUGGUCUGAGAGGAUGAGCAGACACAAGGGGAUGGCGACACGGCCCAGAUUCCUACGGAGGCAGCAGUUGGGAAUAUUGCACAAUGGGCGCAAGCUGGAUGCAGCCAUGCCGCGUGUAUGAAGAAGGCCCUAGGGUUGUAAAGUCCUUUCAGUCGGGAGGCGUUACCGACAGAAGAAGCACCGGCUAACUCCGUGCCAGCAGACGCGGUAAUAC
rnacentral:rRNA from 1 species